rnacentral:misc_RNA from 1 species
AACGCACAUGGCGCCUUCCAGUAUCCUGGGAGGCAUGCCUGUCCGAGCGUCGUUUCAACCCUCGAGCCCCCCGUGGCCCGGCGUUGGGGAUCUGCCACGGCAGGCCCCUAAAACCAGUGGCGGACCCGAAGGGCCCUCUCCUUUGCGCAGUAGCAUCAGCCUCGCAUCGGGAGCCCCCGGCGUCCUGCCUCUAAACCCCCCCGAAAGCCCGCGCGAGCGGCACCAAGGUUGACCUCGGAUCAGGUAGGAAUACCCGCUGAACUUAA